CAUAAGUUCUCCGGAAGAAAGGCCGUAACUGGCCGCCGAGAGAGAAGCCUGCGUCCUAUCAGCUUGUUGGUGAGGUAAUGGCCCACCAAGGCGAUGACGGGUAGGGGGCGUGAGAGCGUGAUCCCCCACAAGGUAACUGAGACACGGUGCCUACGUCUACGGACGGCAGCAACUAGGAAUAUUCGGCAAUGGGCGAAAGCCUGACCGAGCGACGCCGCGUGCGGGAUGAAGGCCUUCGGGUUGUAAACCGCUGUGGAGAGGGAAAAUUAUGAUUGUACCUCUCUAGAAAGCACCUGCUAACUACGUGCCAGAAGCCUCGGUGAAACGUAGGGUGCAAGCAUUAUCCGGAUUUAUUGGGCGUAAAGAGUAUCGUAGGCGGUUUUGUAAGUGAUUGGUGAAAGCCUCUGGCUCAACCAGAGAACUGCCGGUCAUACUGCAAGACUAGAGUGAUUUCGGGAAGGCUGGAAUUCUCGGUGUAGGGGUGAAAUCCGUUGAUAUCGAGAAGAACACCAAGGGCGAAGGCAGGCCUUUAGAAAUCUACUGACGCUGAUGAACGAAAGCUUGGGGAGCAAAAGGGAUUAGAGACCCCUGUAGUCCAAGCCGUAAACGAUGUUCACUAGAUGGCCCCCGCUUUGCGGGGACUGUCGCAAGCUAACGCGUUAAGUGGGCCGCCUGGGGAGUACGGCCGCAAGGCUAAAACUCAAAGGAAUUGACGGGGAAAUGCACAACCAGGGGAGCAUGUGGUUUAAUUCGAUACAAAGCGAUGAACCUUACCUGGGCUUGACAUCUA
rnacentral:rRNA from 1 species